rfam:Medicago truncatula strain A17 unplaced genomic scaffold scaffold0021, whole genome shotgun sequence.
CCCUGCAAAUAUAGAAUAUUUAAUUUUGAUCCUUUGUAUUUUGUUUUAAUCCUGUAAAGUCAUUUCAUAUUGAAAUUGGUCCCUAUAAUAUUUAUUUUAGUCCUCAUUUUGAGGGACUAAAUCAAAUAUUCUACAUAUUACAAGGACCAAAUUAAAUCCAAUAUGAGUCAAUUUUACAAGGACUAAAACAAAAUACCAAGGACCAAAACCAAAUUUUUUAUAUUUGCAGUGA